GUUAUCGGGUCCAAGAAAGGCAUACUUGAGUUCCCUUGGUAAGGGUUUCAGCUCAAGUAUGGGUGCUUGUUUCCGAGAUUGUACAAAUUUUGUCCCUUGUGAGGGCAACUGCUCGAAUUCCUCUAUUCUCGGUCUCCACCUAUUGACCAUCAUGACAUCCGAAUUAUCUAAAAUAGGUGGAACCACAUCAUCAGCAGUACCUUCGGAACACCAAUCUAUUAAACCAUUGUCGGCCGAUUCAGUAAAUGU
rnacentral:lncRNA from 1 species